rnacentral:rRNA from 1 species
AGAGAGAGACAUGCGCGUAUAUCAAUAAGCGGAGGAAAAGAAACUAACAAGGAUUCCCUUAGUAACGGCGAGUGAAGCGGGAAGAGCUCAAAUUUGAAAUCUUCAAGGUUUUACCUUGACGAAUUGUAGUUUAAAGAAGUGUUUUCUGCUGAAGUUUUGGUAAAAGUUCUUUGGAAUAGGACAUCAUAGAGGGUGAGAAUCCCGUAUUUGACCAUUAUUUUCAGCUUUGUGAUACACUUUCAAAGAGUCGGAUUGUUUGGGAAUGCAGUCCAAAAUGGGUGGUAAAUUUCAUCUAAAGCUAAAUAUUGGCGAGAGACCGAUAGCGAACAAGUACCGUGAGGGAAAGAUGAAAAGAACUUUGAAAAGAGAGUUAAACAGUACGUGAAAUUGUCAAAAGGGAAGCGUUUGACACCAGUGUUGUUUUCUCGAAAAUCAAUUAAAAAUGGCUCGAUUUUGUAUUGCUUGAGACCUUAAAAGCUCACUGUACAUUUUUCGUGUCUUUUUUAAUGCACUUUUCGUUUAACAAGUCAACAUCAGUUUCUUUUGUUGUAAAAGGGUCAUUGGAAGGUGGCUUUCAUUUCGGAGAAAGUGUUUAUAGCCUUGUGCCUCUGCAAUCGGAGAGAUUGAGGUCUGCAGCGUAGAUCCUUCGGGGUUAGAUACAUUUGUGCUAAGUUAUAGCUUUUUAUAGACAACUUGUUGACUAUAAUUAGUCUUGUAGCUUACUCGCUUAUGCUAUUUUACCUACGCUUAGGAUGUUGAGUCGUAGAGCACGCAG